AUGAAAUUAGUGUACAAAAUGAAGGGAAUUUUGUGUAGAUUCCAUAAAAUCAAGAAUCGUGUCGUUACGAAUUAUAGAGAAAAAGUUAUCACCUAUUUAGUGGAGACUAUACAAAGAAAUUCGAAUUUGUACACUUCCACAAUCUCUUUGCACACUCACCCACAAUUCUUGAAAUUUAAACCCUAUAUUCUCUUGAGAGCAUGA